rnacentral:rRNA from 1 species
AUUGAACGCUGGCGGCAGGCUUAACACAUGCAAGUCGAGCGAGCGGCGGCCGGGUGAGUAAUGUCUGGGAAACUGCCUGAUGGAGGGGGAUAACUACUGGAAACGGUAGCUAAUACCGCAUACCAUCAGAUGUUCCCAGAUGGGAUUAGCUAGUAGGUGGGGUAAUGGCUCACCUAGGCGACGAUCCCUAGCUGGUCUGAGAGGAUGACCAGCCACACUGGAACUGAGACACGGUCCAGACUCCUACGGGAGGCAGCAGUGGGGAAUAUUGCACAAUGGGGGCAAGCCUGAUGCAGCCAUGCCGCGUGAGUGAAGAAGGCCUUCGGGUUGUAAAGUACUUUCAGCGAGGAGGCGUUACUCGCAGAAGAAGCACCGGCGAACUCCGUGCCAGCAGCCGCGGUAAUUC